rnacentral:lncRNA from 1 species
UUUCCACUAGUGCUCCCACGACGGGCAGCAACAUGUUCUACCCAAUCAGCUCUGCAAUCUUGUCCUCCUCCAUCGCUUACCUCAGAUCUUUUCUGUUGGCCCUCCUCAAUUGGGGAGAAGCAAGAACUCAUUUACUGACUCCACCCACGCGAGGAGCAGCUAGCCAGCGGGCACCUCUUCCCUUCGGCCUCCACAACGUCAUGGUUCUUGUUAGGAUCGUCAUGCCUCUUCCUCAGUUACCUCCUUUAGAUGUUCAAUCUAUCUUCCUGUUAAUUCACAUCAAAGUUCUCUGGAUGGAUGAGUACCUUCCUAAUUAGAUUACAAACACCUCUGAAGUAGUAGCAAUUGUGGUUAGAUUGUAGCAGCUGAUUUCCC